rnacentral:tRNA from 1 species
GGCCGUCUGAAACGGUUCGGCAUGGUUUCAGACGGCCUUUGGCGCGGUUUGUUUGUUAUUUAAAACGUGAAGUUUGUUCAGCUUUCAAGCGGCGGUUCC